rnacentral:lncRNA from 1 species
AAUGCUUAUAGCCCUAAGUGGAUUAGUUACAUAUUUUAGAAAAAAUGCUUAAUUUGAUAUUUUUUGAAGUAUUUUGUAAUAUUUGAUCCAAUUGCAUUUUUGUAGUAAAACGUUAAACAUUGCCCUUUAUCCGCAUGUGUCUGGCUCCUCACCUCCUGAAGUGACUGAGGCAUAUCUGUUAGAGCAGGCUCAGUAUCCUGGGUUAUCUUUAGGUGCCAUGAAUCUGAACAGGUAACCAAGUUUAAGGAAUUUGAAAAUAGAAAUUCUGCAUAGUUCAAGAAAACCUUUCUCUCCCUCCUGCCUAUUUACAAAGUAUUUAAACUUUAACUGCUCUUACCCACAGGGUUGUGAUAAAUCUGUUAGAAAAAUCUUCCCCAAAGAACCAGCAUGGGUCCUUUUCUUGUUCUAUUUAGUCUUAAGUUAGCUUUAAAGCUUGGGACUGUAAAUUAAAGAAAAAAAAAUAGAAAAUACUCUACUCAAACUUUUAAAAAAAAAAUAAGAUUUUUGCUCCCUAAAUAGAUGGCAUUAUGUUUAUUUCAUGCUUGUAAAAUAAUCUUAUGGAGGAAGUGUUUAAAACAAGCAAAUGAGAUUGCUUUUCCUAUUUUGUAUUCUGUAUAAAUACCGUAGCUCUAAGGGAAUUCUUCAAAGAAGAAGAACAUGCAGGAAAGACCAUUUACUCACCUACCAGAGCCUUGAAGUUCCUGCUUCAAGCUACUGUGUUUAGGUGCUGAGUUUAAAUAUCCAGAGUUCUUUUCAAUACCUGUAAACACUGCUUUUAUUCUUGUAUUUGUACAUAAGUGUGCAAAAGGAUACGAAAAAGUAAUAAAAAAUGUUUUGACUCU